AUUAAUUUUUAAUUUUUUCUUUCAGUCACUCUUAUUAAAGAUGGCAAAGGUUGAAUGAAAGAAAAAAUUAAAA
rnacentral:miRNA from 1 species